GUGGGCAUGUGUUCACUUCAGUUCAAAUUGGAACAAUACAUAGAAGAUUAGCUUCGUCUCCUCUUCAAGAAAGGCUUGCAAAUAAGUGACUAUAAUGAUUAA
rnacentral:snRNA from 1 species